AUCGUAUAAACAUUUAUACCUACAUAUAUCAAAACCCCAAUUUAUGAAAGAGCAUAUUCAAGAACAUUAAAAACAAAACAAAGAAACGCAAUUCUGAUACGUGUAAAGUAGCGUUGCUAUCGUGUGAUUUAAUUUAUAAACAACGUUUUUGUUGCACGGCAAUAAAAAACAAUCAGCAGUACAUAGACAUAUACUUAAAGAUUGUGUAGAAACGAUCACGGCUCGACACUCGAUGAAGCAAGGAAACGAGGCGCUACCUUAAUCGAACAGUCGUCUCUACUAAUUAUACAUACUGGCCUCUAGACCGUAGAUAGUACAACCGAUAUCUGCGCUACAUUGUUAGUGAGGGCACAACACUUAUACGAUCGUGUGUAUUUUUAGAUAUUCAGUGCCAAAUAUCUUGGUCUGCGAUGUGCGCGAUCUGUUAUUUGCAAGUACGCGUUCGCGCAUCGUUAUCGCGUGUGCUCGACGAAUUACUCUGUUGAAUUAGCACCGAAACUGACAUUUUACAGGAUGAGCUGUGACAUUACGCCUGUAUUUCAGCGUUGUGCUUUUCGACAUCAGCCCUAUCGAAACAACGUCGUGCAGUUGUUGAUGAGGACGUCAGCAGUAUUACGAGUGCACAAUCAAUACAAAAUUAAUUCUGGUGUAGUUGUGCUGACCAAUCGAAGUAAUCGUUGAUUAGAUGUGCUCCGACGAGGUUUUUGAGGGUCGAUCAUUCGAGAUAGAUAAUCGGCACGCCACUCAAAAAGCUAUGUUGGCGGUCGCCUCUUUACCUUCAUUGCGCGUUUCGUCGUACUUAUUUUUAAGCCGAAUACGACGUAGAAUUCGCUAAAACCGUUCCGUGCGAAAAAGUACGUUGCAAGUUAGCUUGCAAUGUUAUGUGCACUAUAACCAAUCAUAGAUAAUUUCGAUCAUGGUUAGAUUAUAUGAAAUAAACUAUAGCGCUGAAUUUACCAAAUAGGAUCAUUUAUUUAAUCCCUUAACGAUAUAAUAAAAUGUAAAGACUUUUGAGUGGGCGAUUUAAGGAAAGGAUAUCUGCAUUUCGUGUAUUACAAGCAGAAGAUAUACUUUCUGCUUUUUAUGAAACAUAAAUAUUGAUGACUCUUUCAGGCUAUACUGUUAAAGUAUACAAUGUAAAGUAUAUACUGUUAAGCUAUAACAAUUUUAUAUUUUAGACAAUUUCAUCGGAUAUCUGAUUAGUUUCAAUUAUAAACAAUCGUAAAGCCAAUGUUUGCUUUAUGAUGACCGGCUUGAAAUUUAUUUAAAGCAUAUAUUUAAUGUUAUUAAAAUUAAAUUACUUUAAAAAUGCACAAUUACAGCAAAAUAUUUACGAUAUAUUUUUACUGAAUUUGUCAAUAAUGCUUUUGAAGAGAAACGUAAAUUGCAUAUGCAAAAACGGUAUUUAACAAGCAUAUUUAUCUAGCAUACAUUGUAAUAUAUUUUAUUGUGUUCUUCUAUUAUCCAGAGUUCAUUACAUAGCUAUCUCAAUCUUUUUCUGUCGAUUACGCUCAUUACGAAGUGAAAAUGAAAGAAAUUCGGUAAAAAAAUGAUAAAAGAAUGCGUUAUAUUUAACGAGGAUUAACUAAAAUUGCUGAUGGUUUUUUAAUGGACAGAUAAUACAAAAUGCUAGCAACAGUCAAGCCUUAAUAUCCUUGAAAAAAAGAACCAAAAAAAAAAAAAAAAAAAUAAAAGACCAAAAGGAGCACUG